CGAAUACCAUUCAAUGGAGCGCAGCAGUGAGACGGCGGGGGAUAAGCUUCGUCGUCGAGAGGGAAACAGCCCAGACCGGCAGCUAAGGUGCCUAAAUAGUGCUCAGUGGAAAGGAGGUGAGGUUUCAUAGACAGUGAGGAUGUUGGCUUAGAAGCAGCCACCAUUUAAAAAAUGCGUAAUAGCUUACUCAUCGAGAGACCUUGCGCCGAAAAUACUUGGCGAUAAGCACUAUACCGAAGCUCCGGGUGUCAUAUUUAACUAUAUGGCGCGGUAGAGGAGCAUUCUCUAGACAGUGAAGGGUGAUGGUGACUGACCCUGGAGUGUAGAGAAGUGAGAAUGCAGACAUGAGUAACGAUAAGGCCGGUGAAAUCCCGGCCCGCCGUAAAUCCAAGGUUUCCCGGGCAACGUUUUUCGUCCCGGGGUUAGUCGGGACCUAACCCGAGGCCGAAGGGCGUAGGGGAUGGAAAGCAGGUUAAUAUUCCUGCACCCAGUUAGGAGGACGCAUGAUCAAAAGCUACUAAGUUAUUGAAUUCUGAGGUGAUACUACGGUUGAUCCGCAUAGCUAGAGAGAGUGCCAAGAAAAGUCCUAACAUUAAUGGCCCGUACCGUAAACCGACACAGGUGGAUGGGUAGAAUAUACCAAGGCGCAAGAGUGAAACCUAGUCAAGGAACUCGGCAAAAUAGCCCCGUAACUUCGGAAGAAGGGGUGCCUAUUUUUUAAUAGGCCGCAGUGAAAUGGCCCAACCGACUGUUUAGCAAAAACACAGCAUUGUGCUAAGACGUAAGUCGACGUAUACGAUGUGACACGUGACCAAUGCCAAAAGAUUACGGUAAGGUGUUAGCCCUCGUGGCAAAGCUCCAAGCCCAAGUCCUGGUGAAUGUCGGCCGUAACUAUAACGGUCCUAAGGUAGCGAAAUUCCUUGUCGGGUAAGUUCCGACCUGCACGAAUCGUGCAACGAGUUGGGCGCUGUCUCGACUAGAUGCUCAGUGAAAUUGUAGUGCCGGUGAAGAUGCCGGCUACCCGCAGAAAGACGGAAAGACCCUAUAGACCUUAACUGUAAGCUGUUACUGGUUAUUCGAUUUUAAUGCUCAGCAUAAGUGGGAGACGUUGAAGCGUGUUUUUAGGAACAUGUGGAGUCAUCAGUGAGAUACCACCCUUUAACAUUGGAUGAUCUAACCCUAAGCCGUCAUCCGGCUAGGGGACCGUGGCAGCCGGUCAGUUUUACUGGGGCGGUAUCCUCCUAAAGAGUAACGGAGGAGCGCGAAGUUUGGCUCAGCACAGUUGGUAACUGUGUGUUGAGUGUAAAGGCAUAAGCCAGACUAACUGUGAGACCUACAAGUCGAGCAGAUACGAAAGUAGGCCUUAGUGAUCCGGCGGUUGAAUGUGGAAUUGCCGUCGCUCAACGGAUAAAAGGUACCUUAGGGAUAACAGGCUUAUUUCGCCCAAGAGUUCAUAUCGACGGCGAAGUUUGGCACCUCGAUGUCGGCUCGUCGCAUCCUGGGGCUGGAGAAGGUCCCAAGGGUCCGGCUGUUCGCCGGUUAAAGCGGCACGCGAGCUGGGUUCAGAACGUCGCGAGACAGUUCGGUCCUCUAUCUUCUGUGGGCGUAGGAAAAUUGAUGGGUUCAGAUCCUAGUACGAGAGGACCGGAUCUGACGCACCUCUGGUGUUCCAGUUGUUCUGUCAAGGGCAUUGCUGGGUAGCUAAGUGCGGCACGGAUAAGCGCUGAAAGCAUCUAAGCGCCAAGCCAUUCCAGAGAUUAAUUUUCCCUGAAGGAUCGUGGAAGACCACCACGUUGAUAGGCUGAGGGUAUAAGUGCAGUAAUGUAUGUAGCUCAUCAGUACUAAUCAUCCGUUCGACUUAAUUCC
rnacentral:rRNA from 1 species